GGGAGGCAGCAGUGGGGAAUAUUGGGCAAUGGAGGAAACUCUGACCCAGCGACGCCGCGUGCGGGAUGAAGGCCUUCGGGUUGUAAACCGCUUUCAGCAGGGAAUAAGCGCAAGUGAAGGUACCUGCAGAAGAAGCACCGGCUAACUAUGUGCCAGCAGCCGCGGUAAUACAUAGGGUGCAAGCGUUGUCCGGAAUUAUUGGGCGUAAAGAGCUCGUAGGUGGUUUGUUACGUCGGUUGUGAAAUUCAGGGGCUCAACCCCUGACUUGCAGCCGAUACGGGCAAGCUAGAGUUUGGUAGGGGAGACUGGAAUUCCUGGUGUAGCGGUGGAAUGCGCAGAUAUCAGGAGGAACACCGAUGGCGAAGGCAGGUCUCUGGGCCAAUACUGACACUGAGGAGCGAAAGCGUGGGGAGCGAACAGGAUUAGAUACCCCGGUAGUCCGGUC
rnacentral:rRNA from 1 species